GACGAACGCUGGCGGCGUGCUUAACACAUGCAAGUCGAACGGAAAGGCCCUGCUUUUGUGGGGUGCUCGAGUGGCGAACGGGUGAGUAACACGUGAGUAACCUGCCCUUGACUUUGUGAUAACUUCAGGUAACUGCGGCGACUACCGGUUAGGAUCUCCUUCUGCAUGGUGGGGGUUGGGAGGUUUCGGCGGUUGGGGAUGGAAUGGGGGCUUGUCCGAUUGUUGUGUGGGUGGUGGCUUACCAUGGCUUGGCGGGGAAGGCGGCCUGGGCGGGUGGACGGCCACAUUGCGCCUGAGCUACGGCCCAGAAGCCUACGGGAGGCAGGCGUGGGGAGUAUUACACAGUGGGCGCAAGGCUGAGGGGGCAACGCCGGGUGCGGGAUGACGGCCUUCGGGUUGUGAACCGCUUUCGCCUGUGACGAAGCGGGAGUGACGGUACUGGGUAAAGAAGCACCGGCUAACUACGUG
rnacentral:rRNA from 1 species